rnacentral:rRNA from 1 species
GAUGAACGCUGGCGGCGUGCCUAACACAUGCAAGUCGAACGGAGUUAUGCAGAGGAAGUUUUCGGAUGGAAUCGGCGUAACUUAGUGGCGGACGGGUGAGUAACGCGUGGGAAACCUGCCCUGUACCGGGGGAUAACACUUAGAAAUAGGUGCUAAUACCGCAUAAGCGCACAGCUUCACAUGAAGCAGUGUGAAAAACUCCGGUGGUACAGGAUGGUCCCGCGUCUGAUUAGCCAGUUGGCAGGGUAACGGCCUACCAAAGCGACGAUCAGUAGCCGGCCUGAGAGGGUGAACGGCCACAUUGGGACUGAGACACGGCCCAAACUCCUACGGGAGGCAGCAGUGGGGAAUAUUGCACAAUGGGGGAAACCCUGAUGCAGCGACGCCGCGUGAGUGAAGAAGUAUUUCGGUAUGUAAAGCUCUAUCAGCAGGGAAGAAAAUGACGGUACCUGACUAAGAAGCCCCGGCUAACUACGUGCCAGCAGCCGCGGUAAUACGUAGGGGGCAAGCGUUAUCCGGAUUUACUGGGUGUAAAGGGAGCGUAGACGGCAUGACAAGCCAGAUGUGAAAACCCAGGGCUCAACCCUGGGACUGCAUUUGGAACUGCCAGGCUGGAGUGCAGGAGAGGUAAGCGGAAUUCCUAGUGUAGCGGUGAAAUGCGUAGAUAUUAGGAGGAACACCAGUGGCGAAGGCGGCUUACUGGACUGUAACUGACGUUGAGGCUCGAAAGCGUGGGGAGCAA